ACGGCCGCAUUGUGCUGAAUAUACCGGUUCUCGUUAGAUCACCGAAGUCAAGCAUCAUUGGGCGCGGUCAGUACUUGGGUGGGUGACCACCUGGGAACACUGCGUGCCGUU